CCUACGGGUGGCAGCAGUGAGGAAUAUUGGUCAAUGGACGAGAGUCUGAACCAGCCAAGUAGCGUGAAGGAUGACUGCCCUAUGGGUUGUAAACUUCUUUUAUAUGGGAAUAAAAUGUUUCACGUGUGGGAUUUUGUAUGUACCCUUUGAAUAAGGAUCGGCUAACUCUGUGCCAGCAGCCGCGGUAAUACGGAGGAUCCGAGCGUUAUCCGGAUUUAUUGGGUUUAAAGGGAGCGUAGGUGGAUUGUUAAGUCAGUUGUGAAAGUUUGCGGCUCAACCGUAAAAUUGCAGUUGAAACUGGCAGGCUUGAGUACAGUAGAGGUGGGCGGAAUUCGUGGUGUAGCGGUGAAAUGCUUAGAUAUCACGAAGAACUCCGAUUGCGAAGGCAGCUCACUGGACUGCAACUGACACUGAGGCUCGAAAGUGUGGGUAUCAAACAGGAUUAGAUACCCUUGUAGUC
rnacentral:rRNA from 1 species